UGCGUAGGCGGAAUAUUAAGUCAGUGGUGAAAUCCUGCGGCUCAACCGUAGAACUGCCAUUGAUACUGAUAUUCUUGGAUGUAGUUGAGGUAGGCGGAAUGUGUAAUGUAGCGGUGAAAUGCUUAGAUAUUACACAGAACACCGAUUGCGAAGGCAGCUUACUAAACUAUGAUUGACGCUGAGGCACGAAAGCGUGGGGAGCGAACAGGAUUAGAUACCCUGGUAGUCC
rnacentral:rRNA from 1 species